UACGAAGGGGGCUAGCGUUGUUCGGAAUCACUGGGCGUAAAGCGCACGUAGGCGGAUUGUUAAGUCGGGGGUGAAAUCCUGAGGCUCAACCUCAGAACUGCCUUCGAUACUGGCAAUCUCGAGUCCGGAAGAGGUUGGUGGAACAGCUAGUGUAGAGGUGAAAUUCGUAGAUAUUAGCUAGAACACCAGUGGCGAAGGCGGCCAACUGGUCGGGUACUGACGCUGAGGUGCGAAAGCGUGGGGAGCAAACAGG
rnacentral:rRNA from 1 species